rnacentral:rRNA from 1 species
GAUGAACGCUGGCGGCGCGCCUAAUACAUGCAAGUCGAACGCGCAGCGAAAGGUGCUUGCACCUUUCAAGCGAGUGGCGAACGGGUGAGUAACACGUGGAUAACCUGCCUCAAGGCUGGGGAUAACAUUUGGAAACAGAUGCUAAUACCGAAUAAAACUUAGUAUCGCAUGAUACAAAGUUAAAAGGCGCUACGGCGUCACCUAGAGAUGGAUCCGCGGUGCAUUAGUUAGUUGGUGGGGUAAAGGCUUACCAAGACGAUGAUGCAUAGCCGAGUUGAGAGACGGAACGGCACCAUUGGGACUGAGACACGGCCCAAACUCCUACGGGAGGCUGCAGUAGGGAAUCUUCCACAAUGGGCGCAAGCCUGAUGGAGCAACGCCGCGUGUGUGAUGAAGGCUUUCGGGUCGUAAAGCACUGUUGUAUGGGAAGAAAUGCUAAAAUAGGGAAUGAUUUUAGUUUGACGGUACCAUACCAGAAAGGGACGGCUAAAUACGUGCCAGCCGCCGCGGUAA